UUAAAUUGAAGAGUUUGAUCAUGGCUCAGAUUGAACGCUGGCGGCAGGCCUAACACAUGCAAGUCGAACGGUAACAGGAAGCAGCUUGCUGCUUUGCUGACGAGUGGCGGACGGGUGAGUAAUGUCUGGGAAACUGCCUGAUGGAGGGGGAUAACUACUGGAAACGGUAGCUAAUACCGCAUAACGUCGCAAGACCAAAGAGGGGGACCUUCGGGCCUCUUGCCAUCGGAUGUGCCCAGAUGGGAUUAGCUAGUAGGUGGGGUAACGGCUCACCUAGGCGACGAUCCCUAGCUGGUCUGAGAGGAUGACCAGCCACACUGGAACUGAGACACGGUCCAGACUCCUACGGGAGGCAGCAGUGGGGAAU
rnacentral:rRNA from 1 species